rnacentral:tRNA from 1 species
GGCUGUGGCUCAGUGGUAUAGAGCACUUGCCUAGCACGUGUGAGGCACUGGGUUCCAUUCUCAGCACCA